UGCCAGCAGCCGCGGUAAUACGUAGGGAGCGAGCGUUGUCCGGAAUUACUGGGCGUAAAGGGCGUGUAGGCGGGAAUUUAAGUAAGGUGUGAAAACUCCGGGCUCAACCUGGAGACUGCACUUUAAACUGGAUUUCUUGAGGGCAGGAGAGGAAAGUGGAAUUCCUAGUGUAGCGGUGAAAUGCGUAGAUAUUAGGAGGAACACCAGUGGCGAAGGCGACUUUCUGGACUGUACCUGACGCUGAGGCGCGAAAGCGUGGGUAGCGAACAGGAUUAGAUACCCUGGUAGUCCACGCUGUAAACGAUGAAUACUAGGUGUAGGGGGUAUCGACCCCCUCUGUGCCGCAGUUAACACAAUAAGUAUUCCGCCUGGGGAGUACGACCGCAAGGUUGAAACUCAAAGGAAUUGACGGGGGCCCGCACAAGC
rnacentral:rRNA from 1 species